CAAUAGCGUAUAUUAAAGUUGUUGCAGUUAAAAAGCUCGUAGUUGGACCUUAGGCAAGGCGGCCUGGUCACCCUCUGGGUGUACUGGGAUCGCUGCGCCUCACCUUCGGGGAGCUAGUCGUGCUUCGGUGCGCUAGGGAACCGAGCCUUACCUUGAGGAAAUUAGAGUGUUUAAAGCAGGCUUAUGCUUGAAUACGUUUGCAUGGAAUAACAUGAUAGGACUUUGGUUCUAUUUUGUUGGUUUGAGGACCAAAGUAAUGAUUAAUAGGGACAGUUGGGGGCAUUAGUAUUCAAUAGUCAGAGGUGAAAUUCUUGGAUUUAUUGAAGACUAACUAAUGCGAAAGCAUUUGCCAAGGAUGUUUUCAUUGA
rnacentral:rRNA from 1 species